AGUGAACGCUGGCGGUAGGCCUAACACAUGCAAGUCGAACGGCAGCACAGUAAGAGCUUGCUCUUACGGGUGGCGAGUGGCGGACGGGUGAGGAAUACAUCGGAAUCUACUUUUUCGUGGGGGAUAACGUAGGGAAACUUACGCUAAUACCGCAUACGACCUACGGGUGAAAGCAGGGGAUCUUCGGACCUUGCGCGAUUGAAUGAGCCGAUGUCGGAUUAGCUAGUUGGCGGGGUAAAGGCCCACCAAGGCGACGACCCGUAGCUGGUCUGAGAGGAUGAUCAGCCACACUGGAACUGAGACACGGUCCAGACUCCUACGGGAGGCAGCAGUGGGGAAUAUUGGACAAUGGGCGCAAGCCUGAUCCAGCCAUACCGCGUGGGUGAAGAAGGCCUGCGGGUUGUAAAGCCCUUUUGUUGGGAAAGAAAAGCAGCAGGUUAAUACCCCGCUGUUCUGACGGGACCCAAAGAAUAAGCACCGGCGAACUUCGU
rnacentral:rRNA from 1 species